rnacentral:lncRNA from 1 species
CUCUUGUGUGCUUUUCAAAAUUUGCAAUCGUUUUUUAGUUGACGAUCACGCAUGGGGCCAGAAUAUUAAAUGUUCUUGUGAAUUCAAAUGAUCGCCAAAUGGAUAAGCGUAUAUCUGUACAUCCGUAAGUAUUAUGUUUUUCACCCAAACACUUAUUGUAACAAUGUGUUUUAUGAAGAAUUCCAGACGUAAAAACAUGGCUGGAUCAUACAUGAUCAGUGUUACCAUUACUCACAGGAGGAAGCGACGAGCCUGGGUCACGGAAACCCUGGAACAUCUCAUCUGCAUCUGCCCGGCCCUCGCAC